UCAGGUGACACAAAGGGGUAGGAACCUUUGUAUGGGUGGAUUUGUACCUGGAGGGAAGAGCAAUAAAAGCGGAACCUGUGUGAAGCUACCAGCGUGUCUCGUGUGUUGGUGAUAUAAAAAUAUAUAAACUCAGCCACUUGAACAUGGUGUCAGAAGUGAACCCAGGAGGGGUUUGAACUGAAGAACUCAGGAUAAAAAUAAUAGUGUGGAUUUUGCCGCUCGUAGUCGCCAUCGAAGUCCGGGACGGCCGCCAUGAGUCGAUUCCAGGUACCCCCACCUCAGAAGUUUUCCUUCAAGGCAGAUGACUGGCCUAAGUGGAUAAAGCGUUUUGAAAGGUUCCGGAUUGCGUCUGGUUUGGAGACUCAAGCCGAGGAGAACCAAGUGAACGCGCUGAUUUAUUCCAUGGGGGAGGAAGCCGAGGAUAUUCUGGUCUCGCUGCACCUGAGUCCGGAGGAGGCAGUCGACUUCCACACAGUCAAGACAAGGCUGGACACUCAUUUCGUGGCUCGCAGAAAUAUAAUUUUUGAAAGAGCAAAGUUCAACCAACGACAGCAGGAGAUGGAAGAGACGGUCGACAGCUUCCACACUGCGCUGCAAUGCCUGGCGGAGCACUGCGGCUACGGCGCUCUUCACAGCGAGAUGGUGAGAGACAGAUUUGUUGUGGGUUUGAAAGACAAACGGUUAUCGGAACAACUACAGAUGGAUCCAGAGCUGACGUUAGAAAACGCAGUUAAUAGAGCACGACAGAGUGAGCAGGUUAAAAGGCAGCAAGAGAUGCUUCACAGUAACUUCAGAGCGGAUGUGCAAGUGGAUGGCGUGCACGCGCGUCAACACGGCGGCGCGCGAGCGAAGACAAGAGCACCGCCAAAAGUAAUGACACACACACAGGACACAGUAAUUCAGUGCACAAGAUGUGGAGAUUCAAGAGGACAUAGCAUGCAGCAAUGCCCAGCACGUGAAGCAGUGUGCAAUCAGUGCAGGAAAAAGGGACAUUAUGCAAGAGUCUGCAGAACCAAACAGAGGAAAGACAUGAAAAUUGCUAUGGUGACAGAGGACUCAAAUGAUGGAUUUGCUUUUUUAGGUUCAAUGUCUGAUAAAAACACAAUAAGUCCUUGGAUCACAGAAGUGGAUGUGAACAGCCAUAGCACAGUGUUUAAAAUUGACACUGGAGCUGAUGUGACUGCAGUUUCAGAGACGUUGUACAAAGGACAGUUUGGCAAGCUGGAGAAGCCAACAAAAGUCUUACGAGGACCAGGAGGUUCACGGUUACAAGUCCAAGAAAAUGAAGUGGAUGGGUAAACAAUAGAAUGUGGCCUCACAGAGAACAUGAUCUCAUAUUUAUUUCAGAGCUCCUUUUAAAAAAACAGGCCAAGUUUGAAAAAUUUGUACACGAAAUGAGGGAGGUGGUAACAAUACCACCAGAAACCGUGCCAGCAGAAUCCUUUCAAAAAACUUCGACUACAGAAAUAAAUGCAACAAGUGGUAGACUGCCUUCUGGAUUUGCCAUUCCACCAUUUCCUAGAGAUCUUCAGGCCAAGCUUGAUAACAAAGAACCAUGCCAUAAGUCCUCUAAGGAUAGACACAGAAUUAUUAGAGUUCUUCAUGAAGCCAUGAUAGAACACACAAUCGAGGCGGAGUCCUUCUGGGUCAGCUGCGUCCGGGAGUUGGCCAGUUCGUUCUGUCAUGAUACUGCAGAGAUGAGGUUGAUCGAGGCAGGAAGCGAUCCGGACGUGGACGUGACUGAUGGCGUGGCUGGAGGGCUUAAUGCAGUUAGCGUUUGCCGUGGUGUCUUCCAGGUUCCUGGGCGGCUGAGUGGAUGAUCCACGCUGACUUCACUCGUGAUUAAAGUUGCAACACAGCAAACCGGACCAAGAAACCACAACUCUUCAAAGAAAACACGGCACUGCUCCUGUAAAACAAAGACGGUUGGAAAACCUGGACCGGAUCCCCUCCACAAAGGACUGGAUAUAGGAAACAACGUCCAACGUCCCAGGAACCCGGAACGGAUUUCUAAGGAGUACUGGACUGAACAAGAAAACAAAAGGUACUCAGGAGAACUAGACUGUGUGGCCUUGCUUUCUAACUUCAUUUCAGCAAUAUCCUCCUAAAGUAACAGUGACAAUAAAAGAAUUUAAACGAACUUUGGGCUUUUGUGUGUGUAAAGAGCAGAGGGUGUGGAUAACAUCCUUUGUGACAAUGGAUUUUUUUUGUAUCUUAUGUCAGGAGAGAGACCUGACUGGCACCUCAAAGAAAAGUCAUCCACAAACUGUCACAAGAGAAGCAUGUUUUUUCCUGUGCUGGAUAUUAUUAUGAUUAUUUAUUUAUUUUUAAUGUAAUUAUUGGCCAGGACUUACUUAUUUAUUUUAUUUUACAAUAGAUUCUGAAUUUCGUGCAGCAAUGAUUCUGCUGCCCCACAUCUUUAAAGAGAAAGGUGAGAGCUUUAUCAGACUUGAAGAGUGUGAUGCAGAUACUCCAUACCCAACCAUACAGCUGGUGGAAACUGACUGGAAAAUGGCUUUCUCCAAGAGGGUUCAAGGCUUUGUCAAAGUGGAUGGUGUGGAGGUAUGCAUGGCAAUAGGAGUUGAAGAAGGGAUAAUUGCAGCCUUUCAGUGCUUACUAUGUUUUCAACUUGGCUUAUCCACCCUACAUGAAAAAUACACUGACCUUUCUGCAGCAUGCCAUUGCAAAGAUUACUGAGGUGGGUGGCAAGCCCCUUCCAAUAACUAUCACCAGAAUAAUUAAUGUCCUGUGCUAAAAAUGCCACAACUAUAUCGAUGCACGGUGGCGCAGUGGUUAGCGCUCCUGCCUCACAGCAAGAAGGUUCAAGUCCCGGCUAGGGGACCUGAACCAGAACAUCAAUGGGGGACCUUUCUGU